GAUCUGAUGAAAGGAACAGAAACCCUGUCCCUCACAUGCCAAGCUGCCCUCAUGUUAAGUCAGGAAUUUUUUUCAAUGCUCGUCCACCCACUGGAGUAGGUAGGAGUCAGGAGACCUAAAUCCAGUAGGCAUGAGUCCUCGUCCUGUCUGGACCAGUUACUGGCCCUUGCACAAGUCCCUUUCCCAUUCUGCUGUUCAGAUUCUUCAUCUGUGAGGUAAAGGGGCUGGGCUCAGGGAGCUUUACGGUCCUCACCAUUCCAAGAGCAUCUCAAGCCCUUAAUGUGGUCACUCAUACGCUUGGAAACGAGGCCCCAAAGAUAAAAAUACCUUAAAACUCUCUGGAGACUGAAAACCUGGUAUCUACUUUAGCAGAAUCUAGCCUGCUGCUUUUCCAAAACCCAAAUGAAAGAAAAUUUGGUUUACACGUGUUAUUGUUAUGGAUAAUCGUAGGUUAUUCUUAUACAAAGAAGACUUUUCCAUCUUUUUUUUUUUCCUUAAGGUUGCUUUCAUGCACACUAAGAUUAUGCUUUUCCAUGGUCGUUAAACGUAUUCUGUGACUUGAGUUAAAGUGUAUUCAAGGAUCCACAUGAAAAUAAAACCAGGCACAUUGCAACCUCUAUUGUGAUAUUUAUCACUGAUGGGGCUCACAUGACUGCAGAGCUCCAUAAAACUCUGGAGGGGUUACCUUCACUUAAUGGCGUCCUUCCCUUUCACUCACCAGCCACUUCUUAUUGCAAACAGCUGCUUGGAAACGAAAAAACAUUUUCUAUAUCCAAGGGACAUUGUUGGCUCUCCAAGUACUUUGCUCAUUUUAUUUAACAAAUGUUUAAGUUUAAUCAAAUUUCUAAUUCCAAAAAUGAGCCAACCUUGCAUUUUGAAUCACUAGCUUGUGAAACUUGCGCAUUUAAAAUAGUAUAAAAGGAAUCAAAUUCAAGAGCCCCCCUCCAAAAAAAAGAAGUGAAGUGUGUGACUCCUAUGGCUUCAGUUUACUCUGAUGAUGCUUCUGCCACCCCUUGGACCAGCUGGUUUCUACCCACACAGUGAUUCCAAGGGGACCGACCAUCAGCUUCUAAUGAAGGCUUCCUUGAGUUCUGAUAGAAAGUUCAUCCCCAAGAACCUAGUGAAACUGCAUCAGCACCAAAGUAAGGGAGGAAAACAAGCAUCAUAUAAACUUUAUUAGCACUCUUUAUUAUGAAAUAAACUAGGCUUACACUUCUUUUGGAGGGAAAAUGAUGAACACAGAAAACAUACCGUAUUUUUACUUACUAACGUGCACUUGUAAAAUGCAUGGCAUGCUGUUUUACAGGCAGUAGCAUAUAAAAUACUUUUUCCAGAUGUGGAUUCAUAAUUCUCGAAAGACUAUAAUAGUUAUCAUAAGAUUUAUGGAGGAUAAUUUAUUAAUCACAUUUUUUGCUUUUAGAGAUCUGUUUAGUGAGAUGAAAGAGAACUUUAAAAUGACAUUUUAACCAAAUGUAGAUGGCAUAAUAUCAAGUUACUCCUUUUGUUCAAAUUAUUUUUAAUGACUUUAUGUGUUUUAUUGCCUGCACAAGUCAGUACCAACUUGGUGGUAAUGAUCUAUUUAGGAAAUCUCUUAAGAUUUUUAAAGUAAAAUAGCAUAGAGCUAUUUUAAAAACUAAAUGAACUGAACUAUGUGAGUUGAUUAGUGUUCAUUUAUUUGAGAGACACGGGAGCUACUAAAGCUUAUUUUUUACAAGAUUUGGAGGAGACAAAUCUUGUGGAAAACUGUAGCUCCCUGAACAAUUAUGUGGCCGCCUCAAUAGAAACUUAGAAGCCCACGUGUGUCUGAAGUGCUACAAAUAACACGUUAAAUAAAACACACAUUUCAAACAUGGAUCCUUUAAUCUGGCUAAGAUCAUUAAAAAUCCAGCUGUGCUAAAUCCAUAUUGUGGACCCAAGUCACAUGAUAAGUUAAAAAGCCCAAAUGACACUCUUUUUGUCAUCACUUUGAUUUGAAGUAAGUUUUGUCUAAAGCUUUACACUGACAAUGUUGAAAAGAAGAUAACUCUGCAAUUGGAGAGGGCUCAUCUGUCCUAAGAUUACUGUCAGCUCCACACCAUUCCCUCUUCUCUAAUCCAUGGCUUCCCUGGUAGAGAGUUUACACCAGACCAGGGGUAUAGAUUGUUACGGAAUUAAUGAUCAACCCAGAAGCUCGCCAUCCUUCUUCCCUCCAGACUCUUACAGCAACCAGCCGAUCUCCCGCAUCUCUAAUGUAAGUAUAAUAGCACUUACUUUUCAAAGUUAUCACAAGGGUUAAAAUAAAAUGAUGUGUACACGUCAUCUACAGCCUGGCACAUGUACCGUAUUCAAUAGGUAGAAGCUAUUACAGUUAUAAUGUGUAUAAGUGCAUGAGAAGUUUGCCUUUUGUUUAUUUUGCAAACGCAAUACAGUCAAGUGGUAUUUAUGGAUAGAUUUGAAAAUAAGAGUAUGAAAAACAGAACCAUAUUGAAUAACUACCAUGUAUAAUCCACUAUUCUAGGUCUUGUAAGAGACAACAUGUGAGGGGGGAUCUAUGAUCCAAAGCAUUUAUAAUCAAUGAGAGAGCUCCAAAGCACAUGCUGAAAAUCUCAGCAGCAUUUUAAAUCGAUGGCCAUAUGAAAGCACGAUACCACAGCUAGACCUGGGGUGUCACUGGAAGUUUCCACAUACAGGGCGUGGGCAGUGACUCCUGAAGGUCAACAAAAGGUUGAGAAUGCCCGGGUAAGCUAGGAAGACUCCAUGUCAGUUGGGUUGGCAUGAGUGUGAGUGGGGAAUCCAGGAGAAGGAGACUCAGGAGCAUCUGAGAAUUAAGUCAACCAGAUAACUGAUGCUGCUGCGCAGCUUGAGGACGAAGGCCAUGAUGCUGGAAGAAUGGGCCUGAGGAAUGGAGAACCAGGCUCGGUGUCCGUGUAGAGACACCAAGCCUCUCUAAAACUCUCUGAAAGUCUGAGAGAAUGCUGUGAUUAAUGUAUUAGUCCCCGAAGGAGAAAAUGUUCUGCCUGUGAUGCAGAUGAGUAUCCAAGGUGGCCAUGACCAUGGCUGUUUUCCCUGGGAGAGGGAGCCAGCCCUGGGAAGGCUGCACAAGGAAGCUGUCAGAGCACAGCCCUCCAGCCCCACACCUCACAUAUCCUUCUCAGCAACAGUCUCUGCACUCCUGGCAAUUCUCUCUUGAUCCAUCCACCCACUGCCAGAAAACUAUGAGCUCCUUGAGGUCAGGAAUGAUUUUCUCUCUGCAUCCCUCAAGUCAUGCACUGAGUCAGCAGCCCAGGAAUGUCUGCUGCAUGAUCUGUUCUUGGCUGAAAGGCCAGUGGUCAUGACAAUUGUCAAAAUCAGGUGUUUACAAGAUUCUUAUCUGUGUGGAAAGUGUCAUAUGAAAAGAGGAAAAGAAGGAGGACAGAAACGGAGUCCUAAAAUCCACUUGGGAUGAUGAAUUAAAGCUUCUCUCACACCUCCUUCAUUAGUCUAGGAGUGCAACUUGGUUUUCUUUGUUUUUGUUUUCUUCCAAAAGAUUUACUUUAAUAUAACAUAAUAUUUUCAUGGACAGGUGAGACAGAAAAUACUCAGGCAUGAGCAUGUCUUUUGACGAGAUUAUCCAUUGCCUCUACCCCCCCCCACCACUUCCACAUCAAGGUGGACAUAAGACUAAAGGAAUGAAUACAGCAGAUAGAACAGACAGGAAAAAAAUGAUUAAAAGGAUGAAACAUCACAUUGUGCUUGGUUAUUUUCCUAUGCCACAACCAAUAAAUAUUUCGAUGCAGGGAGUUCCCAUCUUGGCACAGCAGAAACGAAUCCAACUAGGAACCAUGAGGUUGUGGGUUCGAUCCCUGGCUUCACUCAGUGGGUUAAGGAUCCGGCCACGAGCUGUGGUAUAGGUUGCAGACAAGGCUCAGACGUAGCGUUGCUGAAGCUAUGGCAUAGGCCAGCAGCUAUAGCACCAAUUAGACCCCUAGCCUGGGAACUUCCAUAUAUUGCACGGGUGUGGCCCUAAAAAGACCAAAAAAAAAAUUCAGUGCAAAUAAUUAAUUCUUCCUCUUUUCCAUUUAAGUCUGGUGGAGGAAAAAUACUUUUUCUGUAACAAAAUAUAUGGUUUUCUCAUCUCUUUAGGGACAGGACCAAGUCAUGAGCAAGAGGCAAAAGAUCCUGAGCAUUCCACCCAAGAGCCCCAUGCCCUAAGAGUGUGGGGGGCCUGAUCUCUGCCUGAACCCUGCAGUCCCCAAAGAGGAGACAACGCAUCAUCCUCAGACCACGGGGAAAUAUGGUCACCCACUGGCUCAGCAGUCAGCAAUAUAGAAAGCAAAGGAGUGCUCUGUCUACAUAACACACCUGCUUGGCCACUGCAGGAAAGCUUUCCCCACGUCUACUGUUCUACUCACCUGGCAGGUGUUCUGCUCACCUGGUUUGGAAAGCACUGUCCAAAGUCUGGGGGAGGUGGCCUGGGAAUGAACUCAACAGCUCUUCUAAGCCAUGGCAACUCUUAUCUUUAUAAACCAAAUUGAGACCAUGAACAUGAACCAGAGGUUGACAGACAUGCUCAACAAUAGAGAAGCCACAUGGGUAGCAGUAAAGAGAGCCUCACAGGGUAAGUCAAAAACACACCACCUUUGUCAUCAAUCAGAACCAAGUUCCAUAGCCCAGAAUACAUGCAUUAGAGCAUUUCAGAGACAGCAAAGGGAGCAAUGGUGGGGCAACCAUCUCUGAAAACAUGGUGUACCAGCCUUUUCAGAGUAAAGUAGCCAAGAAAGAGAACCACUGGACACAUCUCCUUUUGCUAAGCUGGGGAUAGAUCAGGGUGGGCCUUGAAUGGCAUCCAGAGGAAUUUACACUGCAUGAGGUGUAUAGGUUACUGACUGAAUCAUCAGCAUAUAGACUCCUACAUAUGUGUUUCUUCAGGGAAACAACAGCCCAUACAUAGAUAAAAAUUAUGGGAGUUCCCACCAUGGCUCAGCGGUCAAUGAACCCGACUAGCAUCCAUGAGGAUGCAGGUUCAAUCCCUGGCCUCGCUCAGUGGGUUAAGGAUCUGGCGUUGCUGUGAGCUCUGGUGUAGGUCACAGACCUGGCUCAGAUCACGCAUUGCUGUGGCUGUGGCGUAGGCCUGCAGCUACAGCUCAGAUUGGAUCCCUAGCUUGGGAACCUCCAUAUGCUGCGGGUGCAGCCCUAAAAGACCAAAAAAAAAAAAAAAAAAAAAAAA
rnacentral:lncRNA from 1 species